rnacentral:misc_RNA from 1 species
AACCAUAGAAACCUGCGGAGUACCUGCGGAGGGAUCAUCAAUGAAUCUAUAAAAUCUUACACACCCUUGUGAAUUUUCGGCAAGCGGUGCGCGGCAACCGGAGCUAGUUUUGGCUUGGCGCUGUGCUCCCGCGAGCUGAGCCUGAGUAUUACGUGCUCUGACGUACUUUGGUGGUUUCAGUGGAAUGCGUUGAUCGAGUUUCGAUCGAAGCUGCUGUCCGCCAGCGUCGAGCACUUGUUA